AGAUCAAGUCUUCACCAUCAGCAACAGCCAAGGCAAUUAGGUCAUUCAAGAUCUGACUGCAGCAGAGACGAGCUAAUAGACUAUGAUGUUGAGGAGCUGAAUUUAACAAGAAAUGGUUGUGAUACGACUCUGGCUAGAGAGGAGUAUGAAGUCCGUGAAGAUUUUCAUCUCCAAAAACUACACAGAGGGGGUCAGCACCUUUUUUUUCUUCGACUUUCGACGGACCCUGGCGAAAUGUCAACAUCAGUUAAUGACAUCAACAUUUCGACGGGUCGACCAUUACAUUAAUGCCCUACUUCUGUCUUCCUGUUGCUUUUGCUGUCACUGAGCGAGACAAUUGCUUUAACCAAUCGGGCUUGAGGAUGCAGCCAGAAGGACCAAGGGCCAGACCAAGGAAGGACAGACUAAUAGGUUCUGUCUCAACUCACGGGCUGCAGCUUUCCAAGGACCCAGCCUUUCGCAGUCCACCAAG